ensembl:lncRNA
CUGGUGCAGCCGUGACUUCUCCUUCAGCACCACAUGAAAUUCCAUCUUGUGUCAUCAGCAGGAAAUUCAGAAUUGUUAUAUCUACAGCGGAGUCGGAGUUCCAUUCUACGGCCCGAUGUAAGUCGAUUUUCACCGUAAGUCAUGAAUACCAACGACUUUCAUGCAUGUAUGAAUCAUUUUACAAGAAGAUAACAGAAUAAGUUGCACUGUUUUUACAACUUGACCACACUAGGGAGCCAUAAUGAAGGACAAAAAGUUAGUGAAUGUAGCACAAUCCAAGGUGGCGUACAACCGGAGAAUGGAAACAAAGCUGUCUGAUAGCACCGUGUGACGACGUAUUCAUCCGCUGCACUCAUUACUAGUUCCACUACUAAUGAUGAAACACCGUACGUCGUAAACCGAGGUAUCCCUGUACAGAGGGAGCAGGUCUUCUUCCAGACUCUACUUUGUUGCACCACCAUGUUUCUACAGAAGCCCAGAAUGGACAAACCAGGCACCAGCUCUAGAAAAGGCCUUUUGCAAUUUACUGCAGCAAUAAUUGCAGUUUCUUUUACAUACUUGGAAAAGUAGGGUGAGGAGCAUAGAGUUGGUUGCACUCUGCACCUCAACCAAUAAAUACCAAAGUCUGCACGCA